rnacentral:rRNA from 1 species
UUCCGGUUGAUCCUGCCGGACCUGACUGCUAUCGGAUUGAUAUUAAGCCAUGCGAGUCUUUGUAGUAAUACAAGGCAGACGGCUCAGUAACACGUAGUCAAUCUACCCUAUGGACGGGGAUAACCUCGGGAAACUAAGAAUAAUACCCGACAGAUCAUAAUGCCUGGAAUGGUUUAUGGUUUAAAUGAUUUUUCGCCAUAGGAUGGGACUGCGGUCUAUCAGCUUGUUGGUGAGGUAAUGGCCCACCAAGGCUAUUACAGAUACGGGCUCUGAGAGGAGAAGCCCGGAGAUGGGUACUGAGACACGGACCCAGGUCCUAUGGGGCGCAGCAGGCGAGAAAACUUUGCAAUGUGCGAAAGCACGACAAGGUUAAUCCGAGUGUUUUCUGCUAAAGAAAUCUUUUGUUAGUUCUAAAACCACUAUCGAAUAAGGGGUGGGCAAGUUCUGGUGUCAGCCGCCGCGGUAAAACCAGCACCUCAAGUGGUCAGGAUGAUUAUUGGGCCUAAAGCAUCCGUAGCCGGCUAUGUUAGUUUUCGGUUAAAUCCAUGUGCUCAACACAUGGGCUGUCGAAAAUACUGCAUAGCUAGGGAGUGGGAGAGGUAGACGGUACUCUGUAGGAAGGGGUAAAAUCCUUUGAUCUAUAGAUGACCACCAGUGGCGAAGGCGGUCUACCAGAACAUGUCCGACGGUGAGGGAUGAAAGCUGGGGGAGCAAACCGGAUUAGAUACCCGGGUAGUCCCAGCUGUAAACUAUGCAAACUCAGUGAUGCAUUGGCUUGUGGCCAGUGCAGUGCCGCAGAGAAGUCGUUAAGUUUGCCGCCUGGGAAGUACGUACGCAAGUAUGAAACUUAAAGGAAUUGGCGGGGGAGCACCACAAGGGGUGAAGCCUGCGGUUCAAUUGGAUUCAACGCCGGA